rnacentral:rRNA from 1 species
AACAGGAUUAGAUACCCUGGUAGUCCACGCCCUAAACGAUGAAUACUAAAUUUCGGGGCGAAAGCUCCGGAGUUCAAGCAAAAGCGAUAAGUAUUCCACCUGGGAAGUACGCUCGCAAGGGUGAAACUCAAAGGAAUUGACGGGGGCCCGCACAAGCGGUGGAGCAUGUGGUUUAAUUCGAUGGUACGCGAGGAACCUUACCUGGGCUAGAAUGCGCGUGACCGCCUCAGAGAUGGGGCUUCCCUUCGGGGCACAAAGCAAGGUGCUGCAUGGCUGUCGUCAGCUCGUGCCGUGAGGUGUUUGGUUAAGUCCAGCAACGAGCGCAACCCCUGUUACUAGUUGCCAGCACAUUAUGGUGGGAACUCUAGUAAGACUGCCUUCGUAAGAAGUGAGGAAGGAGGGGACGACGUCAAGUCAUCAUGGCCCUUACGUCCAGGGCUACACACGUGCUACAAUGGCCAGUACAAUGGGCAGCAAACCCGCGAGGGCGAGCAAAUCUCAAAAAGCUGGUCUCAGUUCGGAUUGGAGUCUGCAACUCGACUCCAUGAAGUUGGAAUCGCUAGUAAUCGCGUAUCAGCAAUGACGCGGUGAAUACGUUCCCGGGCCUUGUACACACCGCCCGUCAAGCCAUGGAAGCUGGGGGCGCCUGAAGUCGGGGGAUCAAAUCCCUGCCGAGGGCGAUACCGGUAACUGGGGCUAAGUCGUAACAAGGUA